UGAGUCAUCCCUCCCAGAGCAGGAAGAGCAGAGGGUCUGGGAAAACAACCCCAAGGAGAGAGACAGGGCACUUAUAAAACAGCAUGUGAGCAUCUCUGCAGUUGCUGUCCCCAGAGUCCGCCUCCUGGAUAUUGCCAGCUGCCUGGACCAACCUUUCCGAAAGAUCAGCCAGGUCACAGUGAGGGUCAAAGCAGGAGGCCACUGGAGGCUCCAAGGGCUCUGAAAUGUUGAGAACUGCCCUGUGGGUACCAGCGAAGAGGGCAAGAACACAGCACUACUUCCUUGGAUACUGUUUCCCUCCUCAGAGGGGUUUUCUGAGCUGCCUUGGGUCCUGUGAGGAAGAUCUCCCCUUUCUGUAAAGACACCAGUGCUACUAGAUCAGGGCCCACCUGUGUGACUUCACUUUUACUUGAGUACCUCUCACAGACCCUAACUCCAAAUCAGAUCACAUGCUGAGGUACUGGAUGUGAAGACUUUGACAUUUGAAUUUUGAGGAGGCCUCCAUUUAACCUGCACCACCAAGGACAGAGCCAAAGACCCUGGGAUGACAUGCCCAGAACAGGACCUGGUGGAGGCUCUUCUUCAGGGGAGAGAGGGAAAUGGGAGCCACCACUGGCAGAGCCUGAGGGCAGGGAAGCCAGAAAGAAGCUGUGGGAGUCCCCACCAUGGAAGCCC
rnacentral:lncRNA from 1 species